rnacentral:pre_miRNA from 1 species
CUCGGUCAGUUUUGCUGCUUUGCAUCCCGCUUAAAGAAAAGUUUGCUGUGCAAAUCCAUGCAAAACUGACGGAGCA